rnacentral:rRNA from 1 species
AGAGUUUGAUCCUGGCUCAGAUUGAACGCUGGCGGUAUGCUUAACACAUGCAAGUCGAACGGAAACGAUACUAGCUUGCUAGUAGGCGUCGAGUGGCGGACGGGUGAGUAACGCGUAGGAAUCUGCCUGAUAGUGGGGGAUAGCCCGAAGAAAUUCGGAUUAAUACCGCAUAAUCUAUUCGUAGUAAAGUGGGGGACUUUCGAGCCUCACGCUAUCAGAUGAGCCUGCGUAAGAUUAGCUAGUUGGUAGGGUAAAAGCCUACCAAGGCUACGAUCUUUAGCUGGUCUGAGAGGAUGAUCAGCCACAUCGGGACUGAGACACGGCCCGAACUCCUACGGGAGGCAGCAGUGGGGAAUAUUGGACAAUGGGGGCAACCCUGAUCCAGCAAUACCGCGUGUGUGAAGAAGGCCUGAGGGUUGUAAAGCACUUUCAAUUGUGAAGAAAAGUUAACGGUUAAUAACCGUUAGCCUUGACGUUAACUUUAGAAGAAGCACCGGCUAACUCCGUGCCAGCAGCCGCGGUAAUACGGAGGGUGCAAGCGUUAAUCGGAAUUACUGGGCGUAAAGCGUGCGUAGGCGGUUUAUUAAGUCAGAUGUGAAAGCCCCGGGCUUAACCUGGGAACUGCAUUUGAAACUGGUCAACUAGAGUAUGGUAGAGGAAAGUGGAAUUUCUGGUGUAGCGGUGAAAUGCGUAGAUAUCAGAAGGAACAUCAAUGGCGAAGGCAGCUUUCUGGACCAAUACUGACGCUGAGGUACGAAAGCGUGGGUAGCAAACAGGAUUAGAUACCCUGGUAGUCCACGCCGUAAACGAUGAUAACUAGCCGUUGGGGGGAUUUACCCUUUAGUGGCGAAGCUAACGCGUUAAGUUAUCCGCCUGGGGAGUACGGCCGCAAGGUUAAAACUCAAAGGAAUUGACGGGGACCCGCACAAGCGGUGGAGCAUGUGGUUUAAUUCGAUGCAACGCGAAGAACCUUACCUGGUCUUGACAUCCUGCGAACUUUCUAGAAAUAGAUUGGUGCCUUCGGGAACGCAGUGACAGGUGCUGCAUGGCUGUCGUCAGCUCGUGUCGUGAGAUGUUGGGUUAAGUCCCGUAACGAGCGCAACCCCUAUCCUUAUUUGCCAGCACAUUAUGGUGGGAACUAUAAGGAGACUGCCGGUGAUAAACCGGAGGAAGGCGGGGACGACGUCAAGUCAUCAUGGCCCUUACGACCAGGGCUACACACGUGCUACAAUGGGAAGGACAAAGAGCCGCGAAGCCGCGAGGUGUAGCUAAUCUCAUAAAUCUUUUCGUAGUCCGGAUUGGAGUCUGCAACUCGACUCCAUGAAGUCGGAAUCGCUAGUAAUCGUAGAUCAGAAUGCUACGGUGAAUACGUUCCCGGGUCUUGUACACACCGCCCGUCAUACCAUGGGAGUGGGUUGCACCAGAAGUGGCUAGUCUAACUUUGUGAGGACGGUCACCACGGUGUGAUUCAUGACUGGGGUAAAGUCGUAACAAGGUAACC